rnacentral:rRNA from 1 species
GACGAACGCUGGCGGCGUGCUUAACACAUGCAAGUCGAACGGAAAGGCCCUGCUUUUGUGGGGUGCUCGAGUGGCGAACGGGUGAGUAACACGUGAGUAACCUGCCCUUGACUUUGGGAUAACUUCAGGAAACUGGGGCUAAUACCGGAUAGGAGCUCCUGCUGCAUGGUGGGGGUUGGAAAGUUUCGGCGGUUGGGGAUGGACUCGCGGCUUAUCAGCUUGUUGGUGGGGUAGUGGCUUACCAAGGCUUUGACGGGUAGCCGGCCUGAGAGGGUGACCGGCCACAUUGGGACUGAGAUACGGCACAGACUCCUACGGGAGGCAGCAGUGGGGAAUAUUGCACAAUGGGCGGAAGCCUGAUGCAGCAACGCCGCGUGCGGGAUGACGGCCUUCGGGUCGUAAACCGCUUUCGCCUGUGACGAAGCGUGAGUGACGGUAAUGGGUAAAGAAGCACCGGCUAACUACGUG